rnacentral:rRNA from 1 species
AUGAACGCUGGCGGCGUGCCUAAUCCCUGCAAGUCGAGCGAACAGAUGAGGAGCUUGCUCCUCUGACGUUAGCGGCGGACGGGUGAGUAACACGUGGAUAACCUACCUAUAAGACUGGGAUAACUUCGGGAAACCGGAGCUAAUACCGGAUAAAAUAUUGAACCGCAUGGUUCAAUAGUGAAAGACGGUUUUGCUGUCACUUAUAGAUGGAUCCGCGCCGCAUUAGCUAGUUGGUAAGGUAACGGCUUACCAAGGCAACGAUGCGUAGCCGACCUGAGAGGGUGAUCGGCCACACUGGAACUGAGACACGGUCCAGACUCCUACGGGAGGCAGCAGUAGGGAAUCUUCCGCAAUGGGCGAAAGCCUGACGGAGCAACGCCGCGUGAGUGAUGAAGGUCUUCGGAUCGUAAAACUCUGUUAUUAGGGAAGAACAAAUGUGUAAGUAACUAUGCACGUCUUGACGGUACCUAAUCAGAAAGCCACGGCUAACUACGUG